CGCACACGGUUUCCCAAGGCCUCGGCCACCCAGAGUCCCAUACCCAGAGUCACCACCAGGUCCACUCACCAGCGGCUCAAGGACUGGCCCGACAUGUGGCGCUUCGCGAACAAAAGCCCCCGCCGCCGCUCCCGCUCCGCACGCGCGCCGCCGCGACGGAGCCGGCGCCGCCGCCCGAGAAGAAAACCCUAGCCCCGCCUCAAGGGCGCCGUGUCGCUGGUCUCCUGGCGGUGGACGCACCUCGCGAGGCGCCUGCGCCGCCGGCUCGUCCGGCACUGCAGGACCGCUUCUUCGGCCUCAACUCUACUGCCGCCCCGACCGGCGCUGCUAACCUGCGGCGAGCUGUGGCCCGCUCGCUCGGCGCCUCCCAGUUCCUCCGCGACGAAGUGCCCGACAUCGGUCCCACGUGGCCAUCGUCGCCAGAAUCCACAACCUCCGCCGCAUCUCGGGCCCCCGUCCCGCGGAGGCGGAGUCCGCGGGGCUUAUGGCUGUCCCAGGCGGAUGCCUGACGUCGCAAGAGCAGCAGCUCCACCGGUACACCGAUCUCGGCCUCCACUUCAUGCACCUGCAGUGCAGAUCCUCUGCAUUGUCGCGACGUCCCCGUGCUCUACUCCAACUUCAGAGUUCAGACAAGGGACGCAGCAUAGUUUCUUCAGCGGUCAGAAUCUGGUAAUUUUGAUUGAAGCACAACCGAGGGAUCUGAGUUCACGAUAAGCUGAGAUUUCCCAGAGGAACCUGACAAGUGACAAGAAUGAAUUUUCCUGUCACACUCUGAUUGAUUGGUCCGGAAGCCAUGGUAAAGUGCUUAAACUUGCUGGUUUCUCUGAAUUGAGUUGCAGUUGCUUGUUCGUGUUGUCUGUUAAUAACUUCGAGCAGCUCUACAAUUCAGCAAAGCCGAGGUUGGGCCAACCGCCAACUUGGCACAUACUUUCAUGGCCCAAUAGCCGAAAGGCCCACCUCAGCAAUCUGGAACAUAUAUGCCCGCACACACCCCACACACCCUCCCAAUCUUUCCCAUCGCCCGCGCUCUCCAACUAACCAGGACGAAGGCAAAGGUUCGGAAAGGGUGAAGCAGAACAAGAAACCAAGAAGAUGGCCGCCGUCCGGGGUGGGGGUGGGGGUGGGGGCGGCGUCUCCUCCGGCGGCAGCACUAACACGCGCCACGCCGCCCACCUCCUCCCUAUCCCCUGCAUCGGAGAGCCCGCGGCCGCCUCUCGCGUCUCGCCGGGCUCCUCCGCGGCCCGCUCCAAGGCCUCGCGGGCUGCCGCGUCCUACGCCUCCGACGCCAAGCCGGAGCCCGAGGUCGAGGCCUCCGCGGGGAAGAACAGGAAUAUGCCGCUCGCAGUUUCCGCCAAGGGAGGACGCGGCGGGCGCUAUGGCAGCCGCCCGGCAUCCUCCUACGGCGCCGGGCCGCUCACCCACCGCCAUCCCGCCUCCCCGUCCCCAUGCACCCGCGGCGUUGGCGACUACCGCGAGCCCCAUGGAAGAGAUGACGCCUCCUCAUCCGUCACGCGGCGACCGGAAAAAUCGCAAGGGAGGUUACCAACCAGAGCAGAUUUCACGAAGCCUUCUUCUGCGCUGCAAAACGUAAGAUUGCAGACGACCAGGCGUCCCUCUUUGCUGGAUAGGAGAGGUUCUGUCAGUGACGGGAGAUUCACUAAGGCCAGAGGAAAGGAGAAUGAGGUUUAUGAUUAGAACAACUGGCAGACUGAUAAUGUUUCAUCUCGUAUAUCAUCAGGUAGCAAUUCCAGUCCGAUAUUCAUGAAGCCUUCUGGUACAUUGCAAAACAUCAGAUUACAGACACCCAGGCACCGUUCUCUGUUUGAUAGGAGAGUUGAGGGGGCCAAUCAAGUGCCUCGAAGAUCCAUCGACAAGGCUGCUCCUAAAGUCAAUGAAGGGAAGGAUGAGGUCAAUGAACAAAAUUGGCAGAUGCACACCAUGUCAUCUCAUGUAUCCUCAGUUCGUGAUUGGAAUUUUGAGUUUGAUGUUGCCUUUGAGGGUAGAAAUCAUAGUGCACAUCCGGUGAAGCCUUCUGCUAUGCUGCGGAACAUCAGGGUACAGAUGCCCAGGCAUCCUUCUCUGCUGGAUAGGACAGCUUGUUCCUCAGAUAAUUACCAUCAACAUGUGGGUGCAUUCAAUGCUAUCAAUGAACGGAGAUUGCCCAAGGGUUGCGUUUUGACCACCAAAUGUGUUAGGCAAUCCUAUUCCACCGCAUCAAACAGUAGCAAGUCUGCUCCAGGGCCCUUGGAUAAAGUGAAAGACAAAGUGGCCAUUGUCCGUUCAGCUUCAGCUCAUACAUCAGGUGGCACUGUGGGCGCCAAGAAGAAAGAAGCUUAUAUUACCACUUUGGGUGCCGGAGGUGGGUGUGGGGACCCUCACCCUCCACCCUUCUACAAGUGUGAGGUGUGCCGCAAGAGGACGGCCUUCUACAGGCUCAAGUGCUGCCGUCUGGUGGUAGGUGAGUGCUGUGGCUGCACUUGUGAACCAGCUGAAGCUGAGGAAGGCGAGAAGCUGCUGCAGUCCCGGAGAGGCAAGGUGCAGGCUGGCAAAGAGAAACUGCCCAAGGUGAAGCUUGAAGGUUCAGAUCUUUUCCUGUGGCAGCCGUGCUCCUUCCCUGCAGGACUAAUGUUAUGCAUGGCGAAACGGACUGGGAAUAUCCUGCAGUACUACUUUGCACCGGUUGACGAGCUUAUGAACCCAAAAGUCAGAGUGGUAAGGGCAACAGUGUACAACUUCCGUCAACAUGGACGGAACGCUAGAUCCCUGUCAGUAAGAGAUGAGCUCCUAAUGCGCGAGCAGCUGCGCUAGCAAACAUGUAUCUCCUUUCUGUACAUGCAUUGUAUGAUACAGACUUUAACAGAAUGUUUUUUUUAGAGCAACUUUAACAGAAUGUUAGAACUCAGAAAGUGCACAGCUAGUGCCCAGGUGAACUAUCUGCAGAUAGAAUAGCAGAUGCUCUUGUUUCCAUUGGGCUCUUAGGUUUUCUGUAAAAUCUGUAAUCUCAGCGAUCUGUAUGGAUGCUUGUACACCCAAACCUUAAGUGGCUUUCAAUAUAAGCCGAGUAGAGUUUGGUUGA